rnacentral:rRNA from 1 species
GACGAACGCUGGCGGCGUGCUUAACACAUGCAAGUCGAACGGAAAGGCCCUGCUUUUGUGGGGUGCUCGAGUGGCGAACGGGUGAGUAACACGUGAGUAACCUGCCCUUGACUUUGGGAUAACUUCAGGAAACUGGGGCUAAUACCGGAUAGGAGCUCCUGCUGCAUGGUGGGGGUUGGAAAGUUUCGGCGGUUGGGGAUGGACUCGCGGCUUAUCAGCUUGUUGGUGGGGUAGUGGCUUACCAAGGCUUUGACGGGUAGCCGGCCUGAGAGGGUGACCGGCCACAUUGGGACUGAGAUACGGCCCAGACUCCUACGGGAGGCAGCAGUGGGGAAUAUUGCGCAAUGGGCGGAAGCCUGAUGCAGCAACGCCGCGUGCGGGAUGACGGCUUUCGGGUUGUAAACCGCUUUCGCCUGUGACGAAGCGUGAGUGACGGUAAUGGGUAAAGAAGCACCGGCUAACUACGUG